rnacentral:rRNA from 1 species
UGACGUUGGGAAAGCGAGCGGCGGAUGGGUGAGUAACACGUGGGGAACCUGCCCCUAAGUCUGGGAUACCAUUUGGAAACAGGUGCUAAUACCGGAUAAUAAAGCAGAUCGCAUGAUCAGCUUUUGAAAGGCGGCGUAAGCUGUCGCUAAGGGAUGGCCCCGCGGUGCAUUAGCUAGUUGGUAAGGUAACGGCUUACCAAGGCGACGAUGCAUAGCCGAGUUGAGAGACUGAUCGGCCACAUUGGGACUGAGACACGGCCCAAACUCCUACGGGAGGCAGCAGUAGGGAAUCUUCCACAAUGGACGCAAGUCUGAUGGAGCAACGCCGCGUGAGUGAAGAAGGUUUUCGGAUCGUAAAGCUCUGUUGUUGGUGAAGAAGGAUAGAGGUAGUAACUGGCCUUUAUUUGACGGUAAUCAACCAGAAAGUCACGGCUAACUACGUGCCAGCAGCCGCGGUAAUACGUAGGUGGCAAGCGUUGUCCGGAUUUAUUGGGCGUAAAGCGAGCGCAGGCGGAAAAAUAAGUCUAAUGUGAAAGCCCUCGGCUUAACCGAGGAACUGCAUCGGAAACUGUUUUUCUUGAGUGCAGAAGAGGAGAGUGGAACUUCAUGUGUAGCGGUGGAAUGCGUAGAUAUAUGGAAGAACACCAGUGGCGAAGGCGGCUCUCUGGUCUGCAACUGACGCUGAGGCUCGAAAGCAUGGGUAGCGAACAGGAUUAGAUACCCUGGUAGUCCAUGCCGUAAACGAUGAGUGCUAAG